AUUGAACGCUGGCGGCAUGCCUUACACAUGCAAGUCGAACGGCAGCACGGGGCAACCUGGUGGCGAGUGGCGAACGGGUGAGUAAUGCAUCGGAACGUACCUUUCAGUGGGGGAUAACGUAGCGAAAGUUACGCUAAUACCGCAUAUUCUGUGAGCAGGAAAGCAGGGGAUCGCAAGACCUUGCGCUGAUUGAGCGGCCGAUAUCAGAUUAGCUAGUUGGUGGGGUAAAGGCUCACCAAGGCGACGAUCUGUAGCUGGUCUGAGAGGAUGAUCCGCCACACUGGAACUGAGACACGGUCCAGACUCCUACGGGAGGCAGCAGUGGGGAAUUUUGGACAAUGGGGGCAACCCUGAUCCAGCCAUGCCGCGUGAGUGAAGAAGGCCUUCGGGUUGUAAAGCUCUUUCGGCCAGGAAGAAAUCGCACGGGCUAAUACCCUGUGUGGAUGACGGUACCGGAAUAAGAAGCACCGGCUAACUACGUGCCAGCCGCCGCAGUAACAC
rnacentral:rRNA from 1 species